GGGGGAAGCCAGGACCUGACAUGAGGCAGGGCCUGGAGAAGGGGACAGGGGAACAGUAGCUGACUAAGUGAUGCCUGAUGUCUAAGGAUGAAGCAAGAAGCAUUAUGAUGCAGGCAGAGGCAGUGGCCUGUUCAGUGAGUUUCCAAGUAGAUGAUGGGAUUCCCACAAGGCAGAAACAUAGUGAUGCGAAUGAGGCAGCAUCUAGAAGGUUUGUCUGUGGCUGGGGUUCACUGGCAGAGCGCAGACCCUCGGAGAGGAGAGGGCGAGAAUGACAAAGUUACUCCUCCAGACCCAUGACCCAGGAGGAGUAUGCGAAGAAGAAGAAGAAGAAGAAGAAGAAGAAGAAGAAGAAGAAGAAGAAGGAGGAGGAGGAGGAGGAGGAGGAGGAGGAGGAGGAGGAGGAAGUAGGACGAUGGACUACCAUGAUCAGAAGAAGAAGAAAGCAGAAACUGAUUUUGUUCAAUCUGUUCAGAAAUUCUUUCCUCUCUUGAAUGUCCCCCCUACCUACCUCCACUACCACACAUACACAUAUACACACAUACAAACUCAUACACACAUCCACAUACAUUUACACACAUCCACACUCACACUCACACACACACAUCCACACGCACACAUCCACACAAACUCAUACAGACAAAUUCUUUUUUUUUUUUUUUUUUUAGGAUUUUGCUUAUUUAUUUGAGAAAGAGUGUGUGUGUGCACCAGCAGGGGUGGAGGAGCAGAGAGAGAGGUAGAAGCAGACUCCCCGCUGAGCAGAGAGACUGACUUGGGGCUCUCGAUCCCAGGACCUGAGCCAAAGGCAGCCACUUAACCAACUGAGCCAUGCAGAUGUCUCCAUACAAAUAAAUUCGUAUUUAAUCUGUUCA
rnacentral:lncRNA from 12 species